rnacentral:rRNA from 1 species
GUGCCAGCCGCCGCGGUAAUACGGAGGGUGCAAGCGUUGUCCGGAUUUAUUGGGUUUAAAGGGUGCGUAGGUGGCCUUAUAAGUCAGCGGUGAAAGUCUGCAGCUUAACUGUAGAACUGCCAUUGAUACUGUAAGGCUUGAGUACUGAUGAGGUAGGCGGAAUUGAUAGUGUAGCGGUGAAAUGCAUAGAUAUUAUCAAGAACACCGAUUGCGAAGGCAGCUUACUAAGGAGUUACUGACACUGAGGCACGAAAGCGUGGGGAUCAAACAGGAUUAGAUACCCUGGUAGUCC